GCCCACAUAGCUCAGUUGGUAGAGCACGUCCUUGGUAAGGACGAGGUCACCGGUUCAAUCCCGGUUGUGGGCUCCA
rnacentral:tRNA from 5 species